UCAAACUUGGUCAUUUAGAGGAAGUAAAAGUCGUAACAAGGUUUCCGUAGGUGAACCUGCGGAAGGAUCAUCAAUGAAUUUUUGAUAUCAAUACAAAAAAAAUUCACGGCUUUUGGCUUUGGGUUUUGGCCAAGUCAAAUUGGUAAAGCUCAUGGUCCAUGGCCAAACAACCAACCAGUCAUUGUGUAAAAUUGUGUGAUGUGCAAGAGGGGGAACUUGGUGGUUUGAUCUGAUCCGAUCCGAGUUCUCGUCGUGUGCAUUCUGAUCUUUUUCACCCAUUGGCUUUUUGCAGAAGAAGAGUGCGGGUUUGUUUGUUCCGAAAGACGACCGGACCACACAAACCUUUCUCCUCUUCUCAACAUUAUUUUGUGGGUAACACAAAUAACAAUAAAUCAAUUACAACUUUUAACGAUGGAUCUCUUGGCUCCCGCAUCGAUGAAGAACGCAGC
rnacentral:misc_RNA from 1 species